CUGUGCACCAUUCCUUGUUGUUCACUGCUUUGUUUUUUUUUUUCGUGUGUGCGUGUGUUUGUGUGCAGCAAACAAACACAGAGACACACGCGCAGAUCCCACAACCGCACCAUCGCAUCCGUGUGCGCUGCGCGCUGGCCGUUUCACCAUCUCCCCUCACACCAUCAUCGUCCGCAUACCCCUCAUUAGCCGAUGAAGCCGUACGUGUGGCCAACCUCAGACGAGGCGCCGCCACCCUCUGGGCGCCGUACUUUUCCGUGCCAGUUCAAAGUGAAUCACGGUACGCUCAACCUCUUCUCCCCCGCCGCGCCAGAGCCACAGCAGUGCAGCACCAGGGCUGUGGCAGGGCCGUUCUCCAUCACAGGGCAGCGAGGUAUUCUGCACCAGCGCAACCACAACAGGGAGUCUACGGCAACCCGCGAGUUCCCCGUGAAUGGGCUGCGACGCGUAUCGGCACCGCAGCGAAGCGAGACGCCGCACGGCAUACGCCAUAUACGCGGCGCGGCGGGGGCCCAGCAGCAUGUGCAGGUUGUCAACAUCACGGACGCCUACAAGGACCCGAUGCAGAUGGGCCCAAGGCGCACCGGCGUCAAGUGCUUGCCGCAGAAGAGCGAAUCUAACGACGUCAGCGCGGCGUUGGCCUUUGCGGGGUCGCGCCAGCAGCUUAGUGCACGUGUCCUCGCCGCACCGGUAGGGAAGCCGUCGCGGCCCUCCCUGUGCACGAUUGAUUACUCAGACCAGGAACGCUUCGCGCAGGCGGUGCGCGAUCACGCGCAGAAACGCGCACGUGGCGUGGCGGAGUUUUACGUGCAGCUCGUGCGCGACACCGUCGGUGGUGUGACAAGUAGCACGCCUAAGCCGGCCAUUGUGCCGUGGUCUCUCGACCAGGAGCCGACGCGGCGGGUGCUGACGCUGGAGCGGUGCCGAGAUCAACUCGUGGCGCUAACCUCAAUGCCCAUCUCGCUGAGCGACCUCGCUCAACUUCUGUGGGUCUCCAGCGAUGGCGAGGCGGCGAACUCGGAUGGCCUCACGAGCGAUUUUGACAAGGAUGCGUCGCUCCCGCUGAGCUGCCGCCCCGUGCCCUUUCGCGACUUCGCAGCCGCCUUUGGCCAAAACUCCAGCGACGUGAGACUCGCCCGCAUGAAGGUGUGAUGGCAGCGCUUCACAGUCAGUUGGGGCGACAGUGGUUUACGUGCUGAGGGUGUCGGCGCGUGGGCAGCUACCAGCGUGGAAGGGUUCCUACAAAAGACAACGAGUGCCUGUCCCGCACACAUGGACACGCAGACACAGACGCAUAGACGCAGACAGGUGCAGGCAGCAGUGGCGAUGCUGCGUCUCUCUCGAUCAUAGACUCCAUAGAUGCCCUGCCGCUGCCUCUGCCUCUGCCAGUCCUCCGCAUUGAAAGCGGCAGUCGAGGGCGUCUGUGUGUUUGGCGACGUGGUGAUCUCUGUAGGAACUGAGCAGGAGAUGGGGAGUCCAAUAAUCGGGACGUCACUGUUCUUCCAGCCCCCACCACAACUGUGCUCAGAUUAGCCCACUCUUCGCUCUCCGACGUUCGCGAGUCGUUGCUGCUCUUGUCCUCUUCUGAGUCGCUUACUGCGUUGCCUACAUUGGGGGGGAGGCAAUUUGCCCACACCAGAGAUGCUUGCCUGUGUGCACUCACUCGCGCGCGCGCUCGCCCUCUUUGCGAAUCUCUCUGAAAAGGCCAGCGGGUAGCAUCAGUGCCGCUGCGCUAUAGACCGGCGUAUGACUGAGCCGCACAUCAGAGGAUAAUAGACGUGAGGCCCCUCAUCUCAGACAUCAUGAGCGUCGCUCGACACGUUUGAGGGGUGCACGUGGAGUGGCCGUGAUCCUCUCUUUGCGGAUUUGCCAACUCUUCUACUGAACUGAUGACAAGAGGGACACAUCUCAGUGCGUGGCAUUCUCGGAGUCCAGCACACACCACUUUGUGGGGAGGGGGGACGCCUAGCGGCUCCUCAACCUCUGUCUCUGCCAAUGCCGAGCCACCUCUGGUCGUGAAAAGGUCCAGCGCCUACGGGGCAGGGGGAGGUGAGUGCGAUGUCGUAUCGCUGCUGAUGUGCGCGGUCAGGCCCUGUAGAGGGGGGAGGGGGCGGUGCUGCGUCGGAGCGUCCUGCUACAGCGCACACGCUGGUGCCAUCUGUGUGUUGGGCAGUGCGUGUGCGUGACUCGAGCCUAUCUCGCCUGGACCUCACCGCCCAUUGGUGGGGAGGCCGAGUGUCAUCCCGAGGAACAUAGCAGGCGGCCGCCUGCGGACCGGGUAUGGGGGUGGGUAGGCCUUGAGGCAGGGGCCGUGCGGCGUUUGGCCUCGUGUUGUACGGCAGGGCGGCGAUAGCACACGUCGAAGCGGAGAAAAGGUAAAUUUUGUUCGGCUCUCUUCUUGCCCACAAGGCGCCUCUCUGUCUCUAUCUGGCCCCCCUCCCCGCUUGCACACCUACUAG
rnacentral:misc_RNA from 1 species